GGGGCUGAAUGGGGUACUGGUGUCCUCCACGGUCUUCAAAACCGUACGCGGCUAGCGUGCCUAGCUGGGUGAGUUCGAUUCUCACACAGUCCC
rnacentral:tRNA from 1 species